rnacentral:rRNA from 1 species
GGGGAAUAUUGGACAAUGGGGGCAACCCUGAUCCAGCGAUGCCGCGUGGGUGAAGAAGGCCUUCGGGUUGUAAAGCCCUUUAGGUCGGGAAGAAGGUUAGUAGAGGAAAUGCUAUUAAUUUGACGGUACCGACAGAAUAAGCACCGGCAAACUCUGUGCCAGCAGCCGCGGUAAUACAGAGGGUGCGAGCGUUAAUCGGAUUUACUGGGCGUAAAGGGCGCGUAGGCGGUGAGAUGUGUGUGAUGUGAAAGCCCCGGGCUUAACCUGGGAAGUGCAUCGCAAACUGUCUGACUGGAGUAUAUGAGAGGGUGGCGGAAUUUCCGGUGUAGCGGUGAAAUGCGUAGAUAUCGGAAGGAACGUCGAUGGCGAAGGCAGCCACCUGGCAUAAUACUGACGCUGAGGCGCGAAAGCGUGGGGAUCGAAC